rnacentral:rRNA from 1 species
UAAGGAAUAUUGGACAAUGGGCGAAAGCCUGAUCCAGCCAUGCCGCGUGAGUGAUGAAGGCCUUAGGGUUGUAAAGCUCUUUUAGAUGGGAAGAUAAUGACUGUACCAUCAGAAUAAGCCCCGGCUAAAUUCGUGCCAGCAGCCGCGGUAAUACGAAUGGGGCAAGCGUUGUUCGGAAUCACUGGGCGUAAAGCGUGUGUAGGCGGUUUAACAAGUCAGGAGUGAAAUCCCAGGGCUCAACCCUGGAAUUGCUCUUGAAACUGUUAAGCUAGAGUACUGGAGAGGUUAGCAGAAUUCCGAGUGUAGAGGUGAAAUUCGCAGAUAUUCGGAGGAAUACCAGUGGCGCAAGCGGCUAACUGGACAGUAACUGACGCUGAGACACGAAAGCGUGGGGAUCAAACAG